UAUAGCCCUGGCUGUCCUGGAACUCACUAUGUAGACCAGGCUGGCCUUGAACUCAGAGAUCUGUAGCUGGAAGUUUUCCUUUGUUCCACCCAGUUCUGCAGUUGCUCAGUCUCAAGUAAACACACAGAAACUUAUAUUAAUACAAACUGUACGGCCUAUGGCUCAGGCUCAUUAUUGACUAGUUUCUGUAACUUCAUUCAACCCAUUUCUAUUAACCUAUGUUUUCCACAUGGCUUACCAGUACUUUCACGUCUUCCUUCUUGGGUGAGUCGGGUCUCUCCUGACUCUGCCUUUCUUCUCUCUCUUGCUCUCUUGGAUUUCCCACCUGGCUAUAAGCUUUCUUGUCAUAGGCCAAAACAGCUUUGUUUAUUAGUCCAAACAGCUUUAUUUAUUAGUCAAUGGGAGCAACAUAUAUUCACAGCACUUGCCCUUUUCUGUCUAAUCAAAAAGGAAAAUUUUCAUUUUAAUAUAGUAAAAUUACAUGUAACAAAACAGUUAUCAAGCAAGAAUUAUAGUCACAAUAUCUAAUUUAUUUAUAUUUAGCAAAAUUAAAGAAAAUACUCUAUCAUGUGUCUUAUUUUUGUGAGUCUAAAGUUUCAUGUCUAAUUUACCCUUUUAUCAUGACUAGGGAAAACAUAAUUAUAACUAUCUGGUCUUCAACCUCAUCAAGGACCUGAGAAGGAUAUAGUAUUACCUGCCUCUGUCUUGCAUGUGGUGAGAAAGGCUUAUCAGAGUUCUCACAUUAUACCUGGAGUCUCACCAUCUCCAUCUCGUUCUCUGAACCCAAGUUGUGAUGCCCCAGCUUUUCCCAUGAAUGUGUCAUCCGGUUUCUGCCUACAUGAGACUCCUUUUCCCGGUA